rnacentral:rRNA from 1 species
ACCAAGGCUUCGACGGGUAGCCGGCCUGAGAGGGCGACCGGCCACAUUGGGACUGAGAUACGGCCCAAACUCCUACGGGAGGCAGCAGUGGGGAAUAUUGCACAAUGGACGGAAGUCUGAUGCAGCAACGCCGCGUGCGGGAUGACGGCCUUCGGGUUGUAAACCGCUUUCAAUUGUGACGAAGCUUUUUGUGACGGUAGCAGUAGAAGAAGCACCGGCUAACUACGUGCCAGCAGCCGCGGUGAUACGUAGGGUGCGAGCGUUGUCCGGAUUUAUUGGGCGUAAAGAGCUUGUAGGUGGUUUGUCGCGUCGGGAGUGAAAACUCAGGGCUUAACUCUGAGCUUGCUUUCGAUACGGGCUGACUUGAGGGAGGUAGGGGAGAAUGGAAUUCCUGGUGGAGCGGUGGAAUGCGCAGAUAUCAGGAGGAACACCGGUGGCGAAGGCGGUUCUCUGGACCUUUCCUGACGCUGAGAAGCGAAAGCGUGGGGAGCGAACAGGCUUAGAUACCCUGGUAGUCCACGCCGUAAACGGUGGGUACUAGGUGUGGGGGACAUUCCACGUUCUCCGUGCCGUAGCUAACGCAUUAAGUACCCCGCCUGGGGAGUACGGCCGCAAGGCUAAAACUCAAAGGAAUUGACGGGGCCCCGCACAAGCGGCGGAGCAUGCGGAUUAAUUCGAUGCAACGCGAAGAACCUUACCUGGGUUUGACAUAUGCCGGGAGCGUUCAGAGAUGGGCGUGCCUUUUUGGUCGGUUUACAGGUGGUGCAUGGCUGUCGUCAGCUCGUGUCGUGAGAUGUUGGGUUAAGUCCCGCAACGAGCGCAACCC